CCCUUAGAUGUUCUGGGCCGCACGCGCGCUACACUGACGAAGUCAGCGAGCAUGUCCUACGCCGACAGGUGCGGGGAAUCUUGUCAAACUUCGUCGUGAUGGGGAUUGAUUAUUGAAAUUCUUGAUCAUCAACGAGGAAUUCCUAGUAAGCGCAAGUCAGCAGCUUGCGUUGAUUACGUCCCUGCCCUUUGUACACACCGCCCGUCGCUACUACCGAUUGAAUGGUUUAGUGAGAUCUUCGGAUUGGCGCCACUGCGGCUCAGCAAUGGGCUCGGUGGAUGCCGAAAAGUUGAUCAAACUUGAUCAUUUAGAGGAAGUAAAAGUGGUAACA
rnacentral:rRNA from 1 species